rnacentral:rRNA from 1 species
AUUGAACGCUGGCGGCAGGCCUAACACAUGCAAGUCGAACGGCAACAGGAAGAAGCUUGCUUCUUUGCUGACGAGUGGCGGACAGGUGAGUAAUGUCUGGGAAACUGCCUGAUGGAGGGGGAUAACUACUGGAAACGGUAGCUAAUACCGCAUAAUGUCGCAAGACCAAAGAGGGGGACCUUCGGGCCUCUUGCCAUCGGAUGUGCCCAGAUGGGAUUAGCUAGUAGGUGGGGUAACGGCUCACCUAGGCGACGAUCCCUAGCUGGUCUGAGAGGAUGACCAGCCACACUGGAACUGAGACACGGUCCAGACUCCUACGGGAGGCAGCAGUGGGGAAUAUUGGACAAUGGGCGCAAGCCUGAUGCAGCUAUGCCGCGUGUAUGAAGAAGGCCUUCGGGUUGUAAAGUACUUUCAGCGGGGAGGAAGGGAGUAAAGUUAAUACCUUGGCGCAUUGACGGUACCCGCAGAAGAAGCACCGGCUAACUCCGUG